GGGUGAGUAACGCGUAGGAAUCUACCUUAAAGUGGGGGAUAAUCUGGGGAAACUCAGGCUAAUACCGCAUAUUCUCGAUAGAGUAAAGCAGGGGACCUUCGGGCCUUGCGCUUUAGGAUGAGCCUGCGUUGGAUUAGCUUGUUGGUGGGGUAAAGGCCUACCAAGGCUACGAUCCAUAGCUGGUCUGAGAGGACGAUCAGCCACACUGGGACUGAGACACGGCCCAGACUCC
rnacentral:rRNA from 1 species